rnacentral:rRNA from 1 species
GACAGAGGGUGCAAGCGUUGUUCGGAAUCAUUGGGCGUAAAGGGCGCGUAGGCGGUUUGGUAAGUCAGAUGUGAAAGCCCAGGGCUCAACCUUGGAAGUGCAUCUGAAACUACCUGACUAGAAUCUCGGAGAGGGUGGUGGAAUUCCCAGUGUAGAGGUGAAAUUCGUAGAUAUUGGGAGGAACACCGGUGGCGAAGGCGACCGCCUGGACGAAGAUUGACGCUGAGGCGCGAGAGCGUGGGGAGCAAACAGG